UGGGGAAUAUUGCACAAUGGGGGAAACCCUGAUGCAGCGACGCCGCGUGAGCGAAGAAGGCUUUCGAGUCGUAAAGCUCUGUCCUAUGAGAAGAUAAUGACGGUAUCAUAGGAGGAAGCCCUGGCUAAAUACGUGCCAGCAGCCGCGGUAAUACGUAUGGGGCGAGCGUUGUCCGGAAUUAUUGGGCGUAAAGGGUACGUAGGUGGUUUUUUAAGUCAGGUGUCAAAGCGUGGAGCUUAACUCCAUUAAGCACUUGAAACUGAAAGACUUGAGUGAAGGAGAGGAAAGUGGAAUUCCUAGUGUAGCGGUGAAAUGCGUAGAUAUUAGGAGGAAUACCGGUGGCGAAGGCGACUUUCUGGACUUUUACUGACGCUCAGGUACGAAAGAGUGGGGAGCAAACAGG
rnacentral:rRNA from 1 species